rnacentral:pre_miRNA from 2 species
GGCUGUGAGUUGGCUUAAUCUCAGCUGGCAACUGUGAGAUGUUCAUACACUCCCCCACAGUGGUCUCUGGGAUUAUGCUAAACAGAGCA